UACGGAGGGUGCGAGCGUUAAUCGGAAUGACUGGGCGUAAAGGGUGCGUAGGUGGUUUAAUAAGUUAUGUGUAAAAUACCCGGGCUCAACCUGGGCAGGUCAGAUAAUACUGUUGAACUGGAGUAUGGGAGAGGGUAGUGGAAUUUCCGGUGUAGCGGUGAAAUGCGUAGAGAUCGGAAGGAACACCGGUGGCGAAGGCGGCUACCUGGCCUAAUACUGACACUGAGGCACGAAAGCGUGGGGAGCAAACAGG
rnacentral:rRNA from 1 species